CGUCUAUAUACGUAUAGCAUAUCAAUAAGCGGAGGAAAAGAAACUAACAAGGAUUCCCCUAGUAACGGCGAGUGAAGCGGGAAGAGCUCAAAUUUGAAAUCUUCAAGGGUUUCCCUUGACGAAUUGUAGUUUAAAGAAGUGUUUUCUGUUAGAGAGGUGGUAAAAGUUCUUUGGAAUAGGACAUCAUAGAGGGUGAGAAUCCCGUAUUUGAUCACUUUCUACUAACGUUGUGAUACACUUUCAAAGAGUCGGAUUGUUUGGGAAUGCAGUCCAAAAUGGGUGGUAAAUUUCAUCUAAAGCUAAAUAUUGGCGAGAGACCGAUAGCGAACAAGUACCGUGAGGGAAAGAUGAGAAGAACUUUGAAAAGAGAGUUAAACAGUACGUGAAAUUGUCAAAAGGGAAGCGUUUGACACCAGUGUUGUUUUUCCGAAAAUCAAUUAAGAAUGGCUGGAUUUUAAGUUUCAUGACCUUAAAAGCUUGUUUCUUAUUUUUCUUGUCUUUCUUAAUGCACUUUUCGGUUAACAAGUCAACAUCAAUUUCUUUUGUUGUAAAAGGUUAAGAGGAAGGUGGCUUUACUUUCGGGUAAAGUGUUUAUAGCCUCUUAACUCUGCAAUCGGAGAGAUUGAGGUCUGCAGCGUAGAUCCUUCGGGGCUAGAUACACUUGUGCUAAGUUAUAGCUUUUCAUAGACAACUUGUUGACUAUGUUUAGUCUUGUAGCUUACUCGCAGGUACUAUUUUACCUACGCUUAGGAUGUUGACACACGCGCGUGCUCG
rnacentral:rRNA from 1 species